rnacentral:rRNA from 1 species
GACGAACGCUGGCGGCGUGCCUAAUACAUGCAAGUCGAACGAGAGCGACCGGUGCUUGCACUGGUCAAUCUAGUGGCGAACGGGUGAGUAACACGUGGGUAACCUGCCCAUCAGAGGGGGAUAACAUCCGGAAACGGAUGCUAAAACCGCAUAGGUCUUCGAACCGCAUGGUUUGAAGAGGAAAAGAGGCGCAAGCUUCUGCUGAUGGAUGGACCCGCGGUGCAUUAGCUAGUUGGUGAGGUAACGGCUCACCAAGGCCGUGAUGCAUAGCCGACCUGAGAGGGUGAUCGGCCACAUUGGGACUGAGACACGGCCCAAACUCCUACGGGAGGCAGCAGUAGGGAAUCUUCCGCAAUGGACGCAAGUCUGACGGAGCAACGCCGCGUGAGUGAAGAAGGUUUUCGGAUCGUAAAACUCUGUUGUUAGAGAAGAACAAGUGCUAGAGUAACUGUUAGCGCCUUGACGGUAGCUAAACAGAAAGCCACGGCUAACUACGUG